GAUGAACGCUGGCGGCGUGCCUAAUACAUGCAAGUCGAGCGAACGGACGAGAAGCUUGCUUCUCUGAUGUUAGCGGCGGACGGGUGAGUAACACGUGGAUAACCUACCUAUAAGACUGGGAUAACUUCGGGAAACCGGAGCUAAUACCGGAUAAUAUUUUGAACCGCAUGGUUCAAAAGUGAAAGACGGUCUUGCUGUCACUUAUAGAUGGAUCCGCGCUGCAUUAGCUAGUUGGUAAGGUAACGGCUUACCAAGGCAACGAUGCAUAGCCGACCUGAGAGGGGGAGCGGCCACACUGGAACUGAGACACGGUCCAGACUCCUACGGGAGGCAGCAGUAGGGAAUCUUCCGCAAUGGGCGAAAGCCUGACGGAGCAACGCCGCGUGAGUGAUGAAGGUCUUCGGAUCGUAAAACUCUGUUAUUAGGGAAGAACAUAUGUGUAAGUAACUGUGCACAUCUUGACGGUACCUAAUCAGAAAGCCACGGCUAACUACGUG
rnacentral:rRNA from 1 species